UACGUAGGGUGCGAGCGUUAAUCGGAAUUACUGGGCGUAAAGCGUGCGCAGGCGGUUCGUUGUGUCGGUGGUGAAAUCCCCGGGCUUAACCUGGGAAUGGCCAUGGAAACUGGCAGGCUUGAGUACUGAAGAGGGUCGCGGAAUUCCCGGUGUAGAGGUGAAAUUCGUAGAUAUCGGGAGGAACACCAGUGGCGAAGGCGGCGACCUGGGCAGAUACUGACGCUGAGGAGCGAAAGCGUGGGGAGCAAACAGG
rnacentral:rRNA from 1 species